UUAACUUUUAUCUUCCAUCUUAGAAGCAGUACAGUGUAUUAGUUCCAAGGCAGAAGAGUUAUAAGGGUUAGGCAAUAGGGGUUAAGUGACUUGUUCAGGGUCACACAGUUAAGAAGAGUCCGAGGUCGAAUUUGAAUCCAGGACCUUCUGUCCCUAGAUCUGACUCUCAAUUCACUGAGUGACCCAGACACCCCCUUACUGCUGAGUUCUUAUUAGGCUUUUACAAAAUGGGCUAAGAUUUUUAGAAGAUGAUUAUGUAUCAAAAGUCAUCUUUAUGGUGGCCACAGUAUUAAUCUAAACAUAACAGAUUUCAUUUGUGCAGUUGUAUUAGUGACCAGACCCUGAAAAUCUGUAUGGAUGCCUAUUAUUGAUCCAAUAAUAGUUUUUAAACAAUAAUAAUAAUAACUAGUAUUUGUGUAGUGUUUUCAGAUGAUCAAAGUACUUUAAUAUUAUCUCAUUUAAUAUUUAAUAUUAUCUCAAUGUUAUCUCAUUUAGGAGGUAGGUUUUAGAUGGUGACUGGGGCAGGCAGAGGUUAAAUGACUUGCCAGGAUCACCCUGCUAUCGAGUGUCCUCACAUACUAGGAAGGAACUCUUAGAGUAGGAGAGAGUUCUUAGAGGGGAAAUCCAUGAGUGUAAAAAGUCCUGGACCAAGCUUUAUGGAGAGAAUAGAAGUUUCUAGACUAGAUCAAGAAGAAACCAAACCAUUCCUUAGAAUGAUGAAAGCCUGAGGAACCAGACAGGUGGACAUGGGCUUCAUUAGUAAUCCAGGUCAAGUUCUGACAUUUCCAGUAGAAAUCCUGGCUGAGGCAUAAGCCAAAGAGCGAUUUGUGGGUUGUUUGCUGAUGAUGUCACCAAGACUGAACCCCAUUGCUUGUGUUCUAGGCCAUGAUUAUUAUUAUUAUUAUUUUAAGCCCUAUUUUCUAUCUUAGUAAUAUCUCUAAGACAGAAGGGGGGAAGGGCUAAGUAAUUGGGGUUAAGUGACUUACCCAGGGUCAUAUAGCUAGGAAGAUUUGGAGGGCAGAUUUGAACCCAGCUCCUCUCUAUCCACUGAGCUGCCUAGCUCCCUCACCUUUUAUAAAAUCAGCAAUAAUUAUUAUUAUGACACUAUAUUUGAAUAUGGCUUUAUCCUUUCUAAUACACAUUCCAAUUAAUUAUUUCAAUGGUCUCCCUAAUUCUUUCUUUCCCUCUUCAGAUUAUUUUAGAUUUCUUUGCCUGUUUGCAUGAUCUAAUUUAAGAGAACCCAAAUUCCUUGAGGGCAGGGUGAGUAUCAUUCUUUUGCCUUGGAAAUGAUACUUAAUAUAGAUUCUAAGACAGAAGGUAAGAGUUUAAAAUAUAUAGCAGGUCAUAGGUCCCACUAUUUGGCACAUAAAGACUAUCUAGUAUAAUCCUUUCAUAUUAUAAACAAGUAAACUGAGGACCCCUAACCUUAGUUGACUUGUCUGAUUUCAUAUUUUGUACUUCAGUUAUUUUUCAGUCCUGUCUGACUCUUCAUGACCAAAUUUAGGGUUUUCUUGGCAAAGACCCUGGAGUAGUUCACCCUUUCCUUCUCCAGCUCAUUUGACAAAUGAGGAAACUGAGGCAAACAGGGUUAAGUGACAUGCCCAUUUGGCAUUUUCUUGGCAGAGAUACUGGAACGGUGUGCCAUUUUCUUCUCCAGCUCAUUUGGCAGAUGAGGGAACUGAGGCAAACAGCGUUAAGUGACUUGCCUGCUUGGAGUUUUCUUGGCAAAGAUGCUGGAGUGGUUUGCUAUUUCCUUCUGCAGCUCAUUUGACAGAUAAGGAAACUGAGGCAAACAGGUCAAGUGACUUGUCCAUUGUCCAUUUGGCAUUUUCUUGGCAGAGAUACUGGAAUGGUGUGCCAUUUUCUUCUCCAGCUCAUUUGGCAGAUGAGGAAACUGAGGCAAACAAGAUUAAGUGACUUGUCCAUUUGGCUUUUUCUUGGCAGAGAUACUGGAAUGGUGUGUCAUUUUCUUCUCCAGCUCAUUUUGCAGAUAAGGAAACCAAGGCAAACAGCUCCAGCAACUUCGACGUGUCUCGGCACAGUACAAAUGGUCCAUCGUUCUGACAGGCUGGCAGUUCAUCACUCAGAUGAAAGACAGUCAUCUCCCCCCUUAGGACUCCCUUCUAUCCCUGUUCAUCAGCAGGGCUAUGACAGAUCCCCUAGACAUGAAAAGGCAUUCACUCAGGGAUGGAAGAAUGAUGGGGAGAUGCAGGAACCAGAAGUCUUGGCAGCUUCCCUGCAAGAGAAGACAGAUUUAUAAUCUUCUUCAUUUCUGUGACAUUCUGAAGUUUGCAAAAUGCUUCCUCUUAACAUGCCCCUCUUCCAUGGACUCCUUCCUUGGAACGAAGAAAUCCAGGUCAAUAGGAAAAAUAGAUGACCAUAGAAAUUGACCAUUGGGACAGCCCACCACCUCAUCUCCAGUUAAGUCGACCAUUCCACUGAUGCCAAAUGAUGCCAAAUGAUGCCUUCCUAGUGCAGGCAGAGGAGCAAGUCAGGAAACUUUAAUGCAACAAACAAACAAAUUUUUUUUAAUAAAAGAGGGGAUCUGCUUAUUCUCAAACCCUUUGGUUCAUUAUAUUCCCAUUCUGGAACCCCAGGGAAGAUCUCUUAAAGUUUAGCUUUCACUGCUUUCUGGAGUCUCCCCCAAAAUGCAUGAACAAAGUCUCUUCUAGAAAGGUACUUACUGCACAAGGUGAAUCCAGUAUGGGGUAGCUAUUUAUUUUUCCUAUAUGAGAAAUGGAAGCAUUGCCCCACACUCAGGGUAUAUAGCAGCCGCUAAUGAUGUUCAAGAAGACAUCAAAUCUGACUUUUAUGCCUCCUGGGUACCUCUGCCCCUGGAGUCCUUCCCUUCCACUGACUGGAGAGGGUGGAGGGUAGACAUCAGAGAGCUUUGCCCAGACCCUUCAUUUAAGGAAGGCUUCCAGGGAAGUGAUCAAGUGAUCCUGUUAUUUUCCGGUCAGCUCAAGGACAGCAUCAGCCUCCCAAAUCAUCUACUUUUUAGCUUUUGUGUGUAUGUGUUGUUUCCACACAACACUGCCCCCCCCCCCAAUUAGAUUAUGAACUUCUUGAGAGUAGAUACUGUUUUUUUUGUCUUUUCUUCCCCAAGCAUGUGCCAUAAUGCCCAGCACAUAGUAGGCACUCAAUAAAUAUUUAUUGACUGACUAUAAAUCUUAGGUCAUAGUUGAUACUUAAAAUAUCAAAACAGAAAACAUUUUAUGAGACUUUUGAGAAAGCAUUUAACCUUCUACUCCACUCUGAUCUCUACGGAACAACUCAUUCAAGGACUAUAUCUUCUGGUAAGCCAGGGCAUGGCUUGAAUUCAUCCUCCAGGCAUUGGCCACUUUCUCCAAGAAGUUGUUUCAGAAAUCACCUUCUGCUGGCACACCAACUUCUUGUUCUAAGACUAUUAAAUCUGUAGGGUGCUGUCUACUCUCCUGUGCUAAUUUCUAGGCAUCCUCCCUCUUUGCUUUAGGUCCUCAUCUAUAAAAUGACCUGGAUAAGGAAAUGGCCAACCACUUCAGUAUCUUAGCUGUUUGACCCUGUUGGCCUCAGUUUCCUCAUUUGUCAAAUGAGUUGGAGAAGGAAAUGGCCAACCACUUCAGUAUCUUACCUGUGUGACCCUGUUGGCCUCAGUUUCCUCAUCUCUCAAAUGAGUUAGAGAAAGAAAUGGUCAACCACUCCAGUAUCUUAGCUGUGACCCUGUUGGCCUCAGUUCCCUCAUUUGUCAAAUGAGUUGGAGAAGGAAAUGGCCAACCACUUCAGUAUCUUACCUGUGUGACCCUGUUGGCCUCAGUUUCCUCAUCUCUCAAAUGAGUUAGAGAAAGAAAUGGUCAACCACUCCAGUAUCUUAGCUGUGACCCUGUUGGCCUCAGUUUCCUCAUUUGUCAAAUGAGUUGGAGAAGGAAAUGGCCAACCACUUCAGUAUCUUACCUGUGUGACCCUGUUGGCCUCAGUUUCCUCAUCUCUCAAAUGAGUUAGAGAAGGAAAUGGUCAACCACUCCACUCUCUUAGCUGUGUGACCCUGUUGGCCUCAGUUUCCUCAUCUGUCAAAUGAGCUGGAGAAGGAAAUGACCAACCACUCCAGUAUAUUUGCCAAGAAAACCCCACAUGGGGUCAUGAAGAUUGGACAUGACUGAAAUGACUGACAACAACAAUAUUUUAUUUUUAAAAUUAAAUCAAUCGAUUUAUUUAUUUAGAAUAUUUUUCCAUGAUUACAAGAUUCAUGUUCUUUCCUCCCCUCUUCCCUCCCACCUCCUGAAGCUGACGAGCAAUUCCACUGGGCUAUACAAUAAUAACAAAGUUGGGACAUAUAGGCGGAUCAUUUGUAGGGUGAGAGAAAAGGCUCUUUGGCACUGCUCUACCCACUAGGAGAGAGCUUGAUCAGGAUGGUCAGCAUUUCAUCUUGUUCUUGCAUGAUUUGGGAGGUCUCAGUUAACAAAGAUGUAUUAAGCGUGUGCCAGAUACAGAAUUGGGAAUGCAAAUAUGAAGAAUGAUGUAAUCCUUACCCUCCAGGAGCUUAUAAUCUAAUGCAUUUCUCUACAGGAACAGCUUAGCAAAUUCUUCUCUUUCAGCUAUUUACUAUAUUGGAGUAAGAUGACUUUUUUUUUUUUGUGGGGGAAGAUACUCUAAGGCAGCUUGAACAAAGAGGGAAAUGAGAUCAAACUGCAUAGUUGAGGUAUUGGAAACUAAGGCAGUUUGAUGGCACAGUGGAUAUACUGCCAGGUUUGGAGUCAGGAAGACUUGAGUUCAAAUCCAGUCUUGGAUACUAUCUGUGUGAUUCUGGGAAAGUCACUUCACCCUGCUUGCCUCAGUUUCCUCAUCUGAAAAAUAAACUGGAGAAGGAAAUGGCAAACCACUCUAGUAUCUUUGCCAACUAAACCCCAAAAGGGAUUGGGAAAAGUCAGACAUUACUAAAAUGAUUGAACAAGAGCAACAAAAUUUGCAUAUGUAGCUUAGUCAUUUGCAGAGCAAAAAAAAAAGACUCUUUGGUAUUAUUCCACUCACUAGGAGAGAACUUGUUAGAGAUGCUCAACAUGGUUUUAAGAGGUCCUGAUCAACAAGGACUUAUUAAGCAUGUGUCAGACACUGUGCUAGUGUUUAGUAAAACAGAGAAUUAAAUGAGAAAACAUUCUAGCUUUGACAUUCUUUCUUCUAAGUUCUCUCCCAUCUUUGACAUUCUCUGUUCUAAGGUCCCUUUAGUUCUGCAAGAUUCCCCCCACUUCUAGCAUUCUAUAUUAUUCCAAGAUACCUCCCAGAAGUUUUUCUUUUGGUUCCAUCUCUGGCCACCAAUUUGCUAUUGACUUUGUGAAAAUCACUUCGGGCUAUGCUAGGAUAUUUUCAUUUUCUUCCUCUGAAAACAGGGGUAUUCUGGAGCUGACUCCUAUUGGCUGAGGAGAGGGCCAGUUGUUCAAUUUCUAUUAUGUGCAUUUGCACCUGCAAAAUUGGCGAUUCCCCAAAUCAGGGCUUGAAUUAUUGUUUUGUUGAUUGUCCAGACUUAAGCAAGUAAUGGGAAAAUGUUAAUAGUGCAGGGCAGAUUGAAAAGCGUGUUGUGGAUAUCUUUUGUUUGUCUGUUUCCCCAGAGAGCUAAUUGUCCAACAUUUACCAGCACACUUGCCUGCCUGGGAGUCUGCAGGAAGCUGUCCAAGGAGCUACCAUUCCCCAGGAGCUGAGCCAGCAAUCCUCAUUAGAAGCUGCAUUUCCAAUCCUUCUUUCCUAUUGGCUACAUGGCACCUAGCUGAAGAAAGGUCCUUCCUAAGGAGAUUUUAGUAGAAUGUAUGGCCAUUGGGCUGAUGAAUUGUAAUUGACCUGAGGACUUGAUUAAUUUCCCUCUUUGCCAAUGACUUAAUCCCUAAAGGAAGCUGUUUCUGGAUAACAAAUUGUUAUUUCCCUCCUUACUGGUCAACUAGCAUAUUGUUGGUCUACGGAUAUGGAUUAUCUUUAGAAGGAGAUACUCAGAUGGGAUUUCCUCCAUAAUGAGAUACUUUAGCCUGCUCUAAUCUUUGUGCAAUGGGCAGAGGAGAGAGAGAGAGAGAGAGGGAGACAGAGAGACAGAGAGACAGAGACAGAGAGAGACAGAGAGACAGAGAGAGACAGAGAGAGACAGAGAGAGACAGAGAGACAGAGAAAGAGAAAGAGACAGACAGACAGAUAAACAGAGAGACAGAGAGGGAGACAGGGAGAGGAAGAGGGAGAGAGGGAGAGAGAGGGAGGGAGUGAGAGACAGACAGAGACAGAGACAGAGACAGAGACAGAGACAUAGAGAGACAGGGAGAGGGAGAGAGACAGACAGACAGAAAGAAAGAGAGACAGACAGAGAAAGAGACAGAGAGAGACAGAAGGGGAGGGAGAGACACACACACAGAUGGGAAUGGAGACAGAGAUAGACAUGGAAAUAUGAUAUGGAGAGAAAAAAAGAGAUAGAGGAAGAAACAGAAAGACAGAAACAAUAAGAUCUGAAGAGAGAGAAGAAGACAGAGUAACAGAGAGACAGAAAGAGACACAAGAGAAGAAGAAAGAAAGAAGGCAGGCACAGACCACUUAAAACCUUUUUCAAUCUUGAAUUCCAAGAUUUUCAGGCUCCAGAUGCUCUUUUUAAUAUUCAUUAAGCUCAAACUACUGCUAAAAGAGAGCCCAAUUGUCCAUCUCGACUCUUCCUUCUGUUCUCUCGUCCUGUGGACUCUCUGGAGGAAGAGCUGGUGAACAGAGAAGAUUUUCUCUGGGUCCAAGGAAGAUGGGUCUGCUGAAGCAGCAAGGCCCCCUGGGGGAGAGACAGGAAGCAGGUAACGUUGGGGGGUGCAGGCCAUCCACCAUUGCCUUGACCUUGAAGAAACAACCCAGAGCCCUGAACUCAGAAGUCUUGGGAAGAGCAGUGCUUCCAGCCUCAUCCCCACAGCCAUGGUGCUUGGAAGUAACAGCUGGUCAGAUGCACCCUGGCACCUGUUCCUGCAGGUGUUACAGUCACAGAGACUAAAGACUCUGAAAAGAUAGUUCUUGUUACCAAAGUCUUUGACAAAUGGUUCAAAUCAGAAAUGUAUGUGAUUUUAUCAAUGGAAAUGACAUUAAUGAAGAGGCAUUACAGUUUUCUUUGCACCAGCCCCCUAAGGAUCAUGGGACUUUUCCAUCUGAUUUGCAUAUAAAACCUUCCAUAGGUGUUGUCUUCCCCUUUAGAAGGGGAAUUCCCUGAGGGCUUGACUGUCUUACUUUUCUAUUUGUCUCUCUGGCACUUCACAUAGUGCAUUGCACAUAGUAAAUCUCUAAUGAAUAUUUAUUUAUUUGUUUGUAUUUUUCCCAUGCAAUAUGAGUAUGUAUAUACCCCUGAGAGACAACAUAAGCAUAGUGGAUAGAGUGCUGCAUUUGUAAUCAAGAAGCUCUGAAUAGAUCACUGGGUUUGGGUUAGGAAGACCUGAGUUCAAAUCCUGCAUGAAACACUUCCUUUGCUAUAUGACCCUAGGCAAGUUGCUAAAUCUCUCUCAGCCUCAACAUCCUCACCUGUAAAAUGGAGACAAUAAUAGAAUGCCACAGGACUGUUAGGGGGAUCAAGAGAGAUAUAAAGCAAAUUGCAACCCUUAAAAUUCUGUAUAAAUGCAGUUAUUAUUAUUAUUGUUGCUAUUAUGUCUUGUUUCUGUUACUUUAUUAGCUGUGUCAUUGUAGGCAAAUCACUGAACCCCUUUGAGUCAGAGGCAACUCCUUAAGAAAUCUUCUACUGUUUGAAAUAUGCAUUUUCUCAACUAAAUUAUGCAUUGUCCAAUUGCAAGAAGAUACCCUUUUUACCCUUUGUAAUUCUCUCCAGUGCUCUGAACAAGAACAGAUCUCAGCAAACACCUAUAAACUGACUCUUGUAAAAAUCAAAAUUAAUAUAUAAUACUUUCAAA